GACGAACGCUGGCGGCGUGCUUAACACAUGCAAGUCGUACGGUAAGGCCCUUUCGGGGUACCAGAGUGGUGAAACGGUGAGGAACACGGGAGUAAACGGUCCACCACGUUUGGAAAACGCCAGGAAAAGUGUUACUAUUCCUGACAUGGGCUACUUCGUCCCUGGGGGGGUUUGUAAGGCUCGGUGGGUGUGGCUUGACUCGCGGCCUUACAGCAUGUUGGUGGGGGUGUGGGCUACCAAGGCGGCGACGGGGAGCCGGCCUGGGAGGGUGACCGGCCACAGUGGGUCUGAGAUACGGCCCAGACUCCUACGGGAGGCAGCAGUGGGGAAUAUUGCACAAUGUGCGCAAGCCUGAUGCAGCAACGCCGCGUGCGGGAUGACGGCCUUCGGGUUGUAAACCGCUUUCAGCAGGGACGAAGCUUUUUGUGACGGUACCUGCAGAAGAAGCACCGGCUAACUACGUG
rnacentral:rRNA from 1 species